UACGAGGGGGGCUAGCGUUGCUCGGAAUGACUGGGCGUAAAGGGCGCGUAGGCGGCGAUCAAGGUCAGAUGUGAAAUUCCUGGGCUUAACCUGGGGGCUGCAUUUGAUACGUGGUGGCUUGAGUGCGGAAGAGGGUCGUGGAAUUCCCAGUGUAGAGGUGAAAUUCGUAGAUAUUGGGAGGAACACCAGUGGCGAAGGCGACUACCUGGCCUGUUCUUGACGCUGAGGCGCGAAAGCUGGGGGAGCAAACGGG
rnacentral:rRNA from 1 species